GAAAUCGUAACAAAAGCAGCACAGUUACUAUCAUUGAUCCUAUGUGAUCAAUGGGGCCACUUUAAACAGAAAAAAAAUUACUUUCUUUAUGAACACUACAGUUAGUGUACUCACAUAAAUAUAUACAGUCAUUGCUUUUGGAAUCAAAUGAUUAUCGGCCUGAAAGAGGAAUACCAAAAAAAGUGAAGACAUGUCCUCGUAUGUAAUGAGCUAGAGAGCAAUAAAAACAUAUAUUAAAAAAAAAAAAAUUCAUGAUCUAAUGAGAAGAUCAUGAAAGUAAAAUAAUUUUUUUUUACAAAUACAUGAAUUCUAUGACAUCAUACAGUAUAAAAAAAUGAAAACAAGAAGUACAUGACAGAAAAAUACACAGCUACCUGAGCUCUUCAUACGUGAAAAAGUAUCGAAGCAGAUCUUUGACAGUAUUUGGAUGAAAGAAGAGACGGACAGAAGUCGUGGGAGAAUGAAAACUAAAGGUGUUGUGCUUUUUGCUUGUGUCAUCUUCAUGGUUUUCCUUAUAGUUGAAAUCGGGUGUGCUCCAAAGGGUAAAACCAUAGUGAGAAACUGGGGCCCACAAUCAAUUCUAUAUCUUAAAGGACGCUAUGGCAGGAGAUACACCUCUGAAAAGGAUGAACAGUAUUACAAGCUUAACCUGGAGGACUUCAGUGCAUUUUUUAAAAGUAAUUUCUGAAGAAAAGCAUGUAUAACUUGCAGGCUGUGUUCAACACCACUGAACAUUCUGAAAAUCAGAAGAUUUAAAGCCCAAAACAUGGGCAUUAGAUGUUUGGAAUAAAACAAAGCUUUUCUUUACUUGCUACAAACAUCUCAUCCUGAGAAACAAUAAUAAAAAUUGUAACUGAAUGUUAAUACUGCAAAUGUCACAGUGUAAGUCUCUUUAAGGAUGUGCAUGUGUUAUAUCAGCUUGUUCCAAGAGAAAUCUUCAUUAUACUUACAUUUGAAAGUUAAUAAAACUAAAUGCUUACU
ensembl:lncRNA